rnacentral:rRNA from 1 species
AAUCAACGCUGGCGGCGUGCCUAACACAUGCAAGUCGAACGCGAAAAGGGCUUCGGCUCUUAGUAGAGUGGCGAACGGGUGAGUAACACGUGGGUGACCUACCUUCGAAUGGGGGAUAACGUCCCGAAAGGGACGCUAAUACCGCAUAACAUCCUGCCUUUGAACAGGUGGAGAUCAAAGCCGGGGAUCGCAAGACCUGGCGUUUGAAGAGGGGCCCGCGUCUGAUUAGCUAGUUGGUGAGGAACGCCCACCAAGGCGACGAUCAGUAUCCGGCCUGAGAGGGCGGACGGGACACACUGGGACUGAGACACGGCCCAGACUCCUACGGGAGGCAGCAGUGGGGAAUUGUUCGCAAUGGGCGCAAGCCUGACGACGCAACGCCGCGUGGAGGAUGAAGGUCUUCGGAUUGUAAACUCCUGUUGCUCGGGACGAAAAGCUUCGACCUAACACGUCGAAGUCUGACGGUACCGGGUGAGGAAGCCCCGGCUAACUCUGUGCCAGCCGCCGCUGUAAC